rnacentral:misc_RNA from 1 species
UUUCCGUAGGUGAACCUGCGGAAGGAUCAUUAUUGGAUUUUGAAACUUCAGGCUGCUGCUGGCUCUCCUCGGGGGGCAUGUGCACGCUUGUUGUCCAUUAUUUCUCCCACUGUGCACAAAUUGUAGACCUUUCAGUAGGCCUAUGUUGUUUUUCACAAUCUCUGAAUGUAAUAGAAUGGUUUUGAAUCUUGGGAAAUACAAUACAACUUUCAGCAACGGAUCUCUUGGCUCUC